CGCGAGCAGUGUGGAGCGAUGACGUCACCUGGGGGGGGGGGGGGGGUGUCGCUCUAACAGGAGCAGUGUGUUAGUACUUCCUGUCUGACUGACUGACAUCCACCUUUACAGUUACAGCUGUCUCUUUAAGAAGAUUCCGACAGGUGACCGUGCCUUUCCUCUCCAGACAGUUGUAUAGAACGUCUCUGUACGCUGUAGCGUUACAAUUUCCAUAAGAACCAAGAAUCCCAAACACUGUUCCAGCACGACACAACAUGCACAAAAAGUGUGAGCUCCAUGAAGACACGGUGUGGUAGAAGGUAGAAGAACUCAAGUGUCCUGUACAGAACCCUGACUUCAACCCCUCGGAUGAACUGGAACUGGAGUCUCCUCACAUCAACAUCAGCGCCUGACCUCAACCCCACUAAUGCUCUUGUAGCUGAACGAACACAAAUCCCCACAGCCACGCCCCAAAAUCUAGUGCAAAGCCUUCACAGAAGAGUGGAGCACAUUAUUACAAUCAUUUUGUAUGACAGGGUGGAAUGUGUAUGAAUGGAACAUGUCAAGAUAGAACAUUAAAAAUAUAUUUCAAAAAUGA